GCAAAGGAAUCCAAAAAUUCAACAAGAAUGCCAUUUAUAAGGUGAGGCAUAAGCAGCAAUGCUUGUGUAAAUACACCAAAAUAUGCAGGAUGCACUGAAGGAAAAUUACGGAAACGUUUGGAAGCACAGUGCAGAUGCCAUUUCAUACCGUAGCACCAAUGAUACUGUUACUAUAAAAACGGAAAUGAGUCAUUGAUUGCAACAAUGAAGAGCUCAGGGAACAGUGGAGCUCGAUAUUACAGCGCAAUAUCCCCAGUGAGUCGUCACAACAGCAUCUGAAUGAAGAGGACUACACACAAAUGCUCAUUACCUCAGAAAGGAGAGAAAAGUUCUUGUCAAGUGAUGGGCAGUUUGUGGAACUUUCUGAAGUCGGCAGACGUAC